rnacentral:piRNA from 1 species
UGCUAAGUCCUUGGGAUUCCCUGCAUGAG